GUGGGGAAUUUUGGACAAUGGGCGAAAGCCUGAUCCAGCCAUGCCGCGUGCAGGAUGAAGGCCUUCGGGUUGUAAACUGCUUUUGUACGGAACGAAAAGACUCCUUCUAAUAAAGGGGGUCCAUGACGGUACCGUAAGAAUAAGCACCGGCUAACUACGUGCCAGCAGCCGCGGUAAUACGUAGGGUGCAAGCGUUAAUCGGAAUUACUGGGCGUAAAGUGUGCGCAGGCGGUUAUAUAAGACAGAUGUGAAAUCCCCGGGCUCAACCUGGGAACUGCAUUUGUGACUGUAUAGCUAGAGUACGGUAGAGGGGGAUGGAAUUCCGCGUGUAGCAGUGAAAUGCGUAGAUAUGCGGAGGAACACCGAUGGCGAAGGCAAUCCCCUGGACCUGUACUGACGCUCAUGCACGAAAGCGUGGGGAGCAAACAGGAUUAGAAACCCGGGUAGUCC
rnacentral:rRNA from 1 species